rnacentral:rRNA from 1 species
ACGGAGGGUGCGAGCGUUAUCCGGAAUUACUGGGUUUAAAGGGUGCGUAGGCGGUUUGAUAAGUCAGGAGUGAAAGUUAUCUGCUUAACGGGGAAAUUGCUUUUGAUACUGUCAAGCUUGAAUCGGGUUGAGGUUAGCGGAAUGUGACAUGUAGCGGUGAAAUGCAUAGAUAUGUCAUAGAACACCAAUUGCGAAGGCAGCUAGCUAGGCCUAGAUUGACGCUGAGGCACGAAAGCGUGGGGAGCGAACAGG